UGUUGAGCUAAACGGCGGAGUCAGGA
rnacentral:piRNA from 1 species